GCUGGGUGUGGUGGCUCAUGCCUGUAAUCCCAGCUACUCAGGAGGCUGAGGCAGGAGAAUUGCUUGAACCCAGGAGGCGGAGGUUGCAGUGAGCCGAGAUCGUGCCACUGCACUCCAGCCUGGGUGACAGAGCGAGACUCUGUCUCAA
ensembl:misc_RNA Metazoa_SRP Metazoan signal recognition particle RNA